GGGGAAUAUUGCACAAUGGGCGAAAGCCUGAUGCAGCGACGCCGCGUGAGCGAAGAAGUAUUUCGGUAUGUAAAGCUCUAUCAGCAGGGAAGAUAAUGACGGUACCUGACUAAGAAGCACCGGCUAAAUACGUGCCAGCAGCCGCGGUAAUACGUAUGGUGCAAGCGUUAUCCGGAUUUACUGGGUGUAAAGGGAGCGCAGGCGGUGAGGCAAGUCUGAUGUGAAAGCCCGGGGCUCAACCCCGGUACUGGAUUGGAAACUGUCGUACUAGAGUGUCGGAGGGGUAAGCGGAAUUCCUAGUGUAGCGGUGAAAUGCGUAGAUAUUAGGAGGAACACCAGUGGCGAAGGCGGCUUACUGGACGAUAACUGACGCUGAGGCUCGAAAGCGUGGGGAGCAAAC
rnacentral:rRNA from 1 species